rnacentral:rRNA from 1 species
UGGGGAAUAUUGGACAAUGGGCGCAAGCCUGAUCCAGCCAUGCCGCGUGAGUGAUGAAGGCCCUAGGGUUGAAAAGCUCUUUCACCGGUGAAGAUAAUGACGGUAACCGUAGAAUAAGCCCCGGCUAACUUCGUGCCAGCAGCCGCGGUAUUACUAAGGGGGCUCGCGUUGUUCGGAUUUACUGGGCGUAAAGGGUGCGUAGGUGGUCUUUCAAGUCGGUGGUUAAAGGCUACGGCUCAACCGUAGUUAGCCUCCGAAACUGGAAGACUUGAGUGCAGGAGAGGAAGGUGGAAUUCCAAGUGUAGCGGUGAAAUGCGUAGAUAUUGGGAGGAACACCAGUGGCGAAGGCGGCUUUAUGGACUGAAACUGACACUGAGGAACGAAAGCGUGGGUAGCAAACAGG